UACGGGGGGAGCAAGCGUUGUUCGGAUUUACUGGGCGUAAAGGGCGCGUAGGCGGCCAGCACAAGUCAGUUGUGAAAUCUCCGAGCUUAACUCGGAAAGGUCAACUGAUACUGUGCGGCUAGAGUGCAGAAGGGGCAGCUGGAAUUCUUGGUGUAGCGGUGAAAUGCGUAGAUAUCAGGAGGAACACCGGUGGCGAAGGCGGAUCUCUGGGCAACAACUGACGCUGAGGAGCGAAAGCGUGGGGAGCGAACAGG
rnacentral:rRNA from 1 species